GGGUGUGCUGCAUAUGUAAGUAGAGGUGUUUCCUCCUACUGUUUACCUUCAAUAGAAGGUGAUGCAUCUGGAUCACUUAUUCUAGGUGAGGAUUCUUCUAUUUACAAGAAUUCCACUCCCAUCUCUUACACUAAAAUGGUUCCAAAUCCACAGCUUUCAACCUUCUAUCUACUCAACCUUACUAAUAUUAACAUUGGUGGGGUAGCUUUACAAGCUCCAGGGUAGACAUAAAUGAAUCAAGUAAAACAACCUCUAGCUUCCAUCGAUCUCUGGUUCAUUCAUUUCUUAAAAUAAGUGAUUGAUACAGAGACCAAAGAAGGCACAAAGCAAUGUAGAUUGGAGGCUUGAAGAGGCUUGAAGGCUGGUUGUCUUCCAAACUACAAACCAGAAACGGCUCCAAAGCCUCAAAACUGCAUUACUGCUAAGCCUGCUGCCACCAUUGGCACAGAAAUUACAUAUCCCAGUAUUUAAAUUUUCUUAGCUAGUUCUUUCCUGUUGAAUAAUUUCUUUAUUUAUUUUUCUCUUUAAUUAUUAUCAUGCUUAAUACUAUUAGCCUAUGUACUGUAGGUAUCCGUACUUGUUACCCUGCCUUACCAUAUCAAUCUUCUCAGGCUGUGUAUUUAUUGUUUGCUUCUGGCUUCCAGAAACUUUGCAUAGGCAUCCGAAUGAAAUCACUUAAAAAAGAAAUUAUAAUUAAGCAGGAAUUAAUUCAAUUGUUAUUAGAGACUGCAAGCAGCUCCACUCAAUCAGGUGAGAAGAAAAGGCAUCUCGAGCAUCUUAUUCCUUAAACAAUCUGUACUUAUCUCACACAUUACAUCUUUGGCCCUUCUCUUUCAAAUUUCAAUCACUUUGUACAGUAGAGUAAAAAGCUCUUCGUUCUUGAGAAUCA